rnacentral:rRNA from 1 species
CUACGGGCGGCUGCAGUGAGGAAUAUUGCACAAUGGGGGGAACCCUGAUGCAGCAACGCCGCGUGGAGGAUGACGCAUUUCGGUGUGUAAACUCCUUUUAUAUGUCAAGAAAAUGACGGUAGCAUAUGAAUAAGCACCGGCUAACUCCGUGCCAGCAGCCGCGGUAAUACGGAGGGUGCAAGCGUUACUCGGAAUCACUGGGCGUAAAGGACGCGUAGGCGGGUUGGAAAGUCAGGUGUGAAAUCCUACAGCUUAACUGUAGAACUGCACUUGAAACUUCUAAUCUAGAGUAUGGGAGGGGGAGAUGAAUUAGUGGUGUAGGGGUAAAAUCCGUAGAUAUCACUAGGAAUACCUAAAGCGAAGGCGAUCUCCUGGAACAUUACUGACGCUAAGGCGUGAAAGCGUGGGGAGCAAACAGGGUUAGAUACCCCAGUAGUC